rnacentral:rRNA from 1 species
AGUGAACGCUGGCGGUAGGCCUAACACAUGCAAGUCGAACGGCAGCACAUUAAGAGCUUGCUCUUACGGGUGGCGAGUGGCGGACGGGGGAGGAAUACAUCGGAAUCUACUUUUUCGUGGGGGAUAACGUAGGGAAACUUACUCUAAUACCUCAUACGACCUACGGGUGAAAGCAGGGGAUCUUCGGACCUUGCGCGAUUGAAUGAGCCGAUGUCGGAUUAGCUAGUUGGCGGGGUAAAGGCCCACCAAGGCGACGAUCCGUAGCUGGUCUGAGAGGAUGAUCAGCCACACUGGAACUGAGACACGGUCCAGACUCCUACGGGAGGCAGCAGUGGGGAAUAUUGGACAAUGGGCGCAAGCCUGAUCCAGCCAUACCGCGUGGGUGAAGAAGGCCUUCGGGUUGUAAAGCCCUUUUGUUGGGAAAGAGAAGCAGCAGGUUAAUACCCCGCUGUUCUGACGGUACCCAAAGAAUAAGCACCGGCUAACUUCGUG